UUCCUCCCGCACUGGCGCUAUCUUUGAGUUCUCUCAUCUCUGCGGAUUCAGUGUUAAGUUUUAAAAUGUCCAAAUUUGUCAAUUAAUUUUUUUUAAAUAUAUGUGAUAGUGCAUGAAGUAUCAGCCAAAUUUCGUUAGUUGUAGGUUUUGUUGUCGCGCUGUUAUGAACACACUCGUGUAGGUUGGACCGCGGAAUUUAAAAAAGAAAUAAAUGAACAGACGUUGGUAGUGUUAAGUGUACUGUGAGACCAUAUUUUAAGCCUUAUUAAAAAAAAUAACAUUAUCUGUUAACUUAGGCUUUUCUUGGUGCUCACAACGUUCUCUCUUUCUUUACCGUAGGUUACUCCCACAGCAUCUUUUUGCGGCUGUGAGUAAAAGCAGGAGGAAUUAUGAUAAUGACGGUCUUUACUACAUCAACGGUCCCAGGAAGUAAACUGUUGCCUAAAUCUGUGUUUGUCUAAGUCCAAGAAAAGAAAUUUACGUUGGAGACAAUAACUUGCGUCAUCGUUUACUUUUGGGUAUUUUUUCACACUUCACUCUUCUAACGGAUGUCCCCAUCCUUAUGAAGUUGCGAGAGGCCCUGGAUAAGAACUACAACACCAUCCUAAAGUUCCUCCAAGGGUCAACUACCAAGGAGUGAAAGAUGUUUUGACUACUUUUGAACCAGAGGCAUCAGAUAAGACUGCAAUUGUUCUACUUCUUCUGAUGGCUUACUUCAAAGAGCCAAAGGAUUCCAUUGUACUUGAUGUUGAUGUGACACAUUGAAGCCGAGGGCAUGGAUGCUAUCGCUGGAGGGUCAAGUGGUCAUGGGACCUCACCCUGACUUUACAACUGGUCUGGUGGCCACUUUUGCCAGCUACUAUAAUUUUAAUUUAAAGUAUGCUGACAGUGGUUCUUGCACUCUGGAAUUUAUUCAAAGGACAUGGCAUCAGAGGUGAAGGAUAUUCUGGCAAUACAAGACCCAAACCUGGUGAUCAGCAAAGUCUUUAAACUGUGUAUUACACAGGGUGACUUGGCCACACUGAAGGAGGGUUGCUGGCUUAAUGACAAAGUAAAAGUUAGAAAAAUAAAUGUACUAUUUACUUGAUAUGCCUUGGUUUAUUGGGAAUAGUGCAUCACUAAAUUUUUGUAAAGAAAAUGGGGGAAUAAAGGUUUGUCCUCAAUAUUUUAUAAAAAUUUGUAUAAAAAUGAAUAAGUUGAUUCUGCACUGCACAUUAGGGCUGGGUAUUGACACAAAUUUAACAACCAAUUCGAUGCCAAUAGUAUCAGGUAAUCACACAAUUGUUGAUCAUAAAGCACUAAUGCUGAUGUCACCAAUGUCAUGCAUUCUUAAUGAGUAUUUUUCCACCUCUUCUCUUUUCAAGGUUAUCAACUUUUUGUCCUUGCUAAUAGGGCUGCACGAUUUGGGGAAAAUGUCAUUUUGCGAUUAUUGAGGUCAAUAUUACGAUUGCAAUAGGCGAUUGCGAUAUAAUAAACAAAUGGUAUCAUGAGUCAA